rnacentral:tRNA from 1 species
GGGGGUGUAGUUCAGCCAGGUCUAGAACAUCCGCCUGUCACGCGGAAGAUCGUGGGUUCAAAUCCCAUCACCCCCGCGA